rnacentral:rRNA from 1 species
AGGACGAACGCUGGCGGCGUGCUUAACACAUGCAAGUCGAGCGGAAAGGCCCUUCGGGGUACUCGAGCGGCGAACGGGUGAGUAACACGUGAGUAAUCUGCCCCUAGCUCUGGGAUAGCUCCGGGAAACCGGGAUUAAUACCAGAUACGACCACUUUAGACAUCUGUUGUGGUGGAAAGAAUUUUGGCUAGGGAUGAGCUCGCGGCCUAUCAGCUUGUUGGUGAGGUAACGGCUCACCAAGGCGACGACGGGUAGCCGGCCUGAGAGGGCGACCGGCCACACUGGGACUGAGGCACGGCCCAGACUCCUACGGGAGGCAGCAGUGGGGAAUAUUGCGCAAUGGGCGAAAGCCUGACGCAGCGACGCCGCGUGGGGGAUGAAGGCCUUCGGGUUGUAAACCCCUUUCAGCAGGGACGAAGCGAGAGUGACGGUACCUGCAGAAGAAGCGCCGGCUAACUACGCGCCAGCAAGCCGC